UGCAGCUCAGCGGUAGAGCUCUUGCCUAGCAUACAUGAGGCCCUGGGUUCUAGCCCCAACACUGCAA
rnacentral:tRNA from 1 species